UUUAGAUUUCCAAAAACUCAUUUACUGAAUAAGGAGACUAGGAGUUAAUUAACUGUUAAUUAUUGUAGACAAUGCAAAUCAUUUAUUUCUAGUUUAAACAAAGACAAGAAGUUAGAUAUGUCCUGGAAGGUGAUUAUCACAACUAAAAUAAAAGGUGACUGAUUGGUACAUGAAUCUAGUCAUGCUAGUGUGGAUGAAGUAGUUCAAAAACUAAAAUGGAUGAUUCAACAGUAAAAAGAAAAAGAAUGUCUAGUGGAACAUCAGCUUUAGAAGCUAAAGAAAUGUAAGAAUAACAUAGCAAUCAUUGCACCUUAUUUGAUUUAAAUGUACAUUGUAUAAUAAGAAAAUAAAAAUAAAUAAAAUCACAG